GGGAGGUUUGAGACAGAGGUAACUCCUGAUUUCAUUUUUAGUUUUGACUGCUUCACACAAUUGUCAGCAUAUAGAAGAUUAAUGUGAUGCAAUGCCUUUGACCUUUCUCAGUUGUAUGAUAUUCAUUAUUGGCCACUAGACUCGCAACACAUGCUAACUUUUCCUCUUUACAAUUAUUGAAAUUGUCAAAACUUAAUGACAUACAUAUGAAUCUGCUAAAGGCAAAUACAAGGUACCUCUUUUCCUUAUUUUCUCUUGGACCUAUCGUAUUGUCAUAUUGUCGUAGACGCAUGGAAUGAAACAAAACUCUGAAUUGAAAAGGCUGGGAAGUUUUUACCAAAAAGGAGAGUUGAAAGGAAGCACAAACAUAUCAUGUCACAUUUAUUUGCUGUAAAAUGAAGCAUUUAAACUUUACAUAUCCUAAUUUUGACUCUGGGAAAAGACUAGUAUAAAAUUGUCAUUGGCCCCUAUUAUUCCUUCAUGGAACAAGGAAUAGCAUGGAAGUUUGGUAACUCCUAAUUCACAAGAAAGCAGUGCUUGGUUGUCCCGUUUAUUCAUCAAUUACAUCUUCCAAUGACAUGAUUUUUUGGCUAUAAUGGUGGCAGGCUUCAGGAAAUGUUACCCUUGAAACAGUGCACACAAUUGGAUAAAACGGUGUUAGCUGCAUUUCUAGAUGGCAGGUGAAAAUAGGAGUAAGAAAAAAAAAAGCUAAGGAGACGGGGGUUCCCAGAGACCACCAGAAAACCUUGCGAUUAGAGAUAGAAGCCCGUCGCCACGUCUCCCGCCACGCGACGCUCCAUUGCCACGUCUUCCAAUACCGAGUCGUUCGAUAGAGUGUCAAACAAACAAAGGCAUGUUUGAAUGUUAAUGUUGUGGUUGAUUUGUGGAUUGUGUAAGUGUUUUGUGGAUGUUUGCGAGGGGGUGAAGUAGUCUAAUGUUGUAGACUAACUUAGUCUAAUGUCGUAGACUAACUUAGUGUAGAUCUACUAGUUUAAUGUUUUGUGGAUGUUUGCAAAGGUUGUGAAGUAGUUUAAUGUUGUGUAGAUGUUUGCGAAUGUUGAAGUAGCUUAAUGUCUCUUCGGAAUGUUUGAAUGACGUUUUGAUUCAACUUUGAAA